AGCAUGAAUGUUUCGUGACCGUCACUUUAGCCCCGUCAGUGUUCCUGUUUUUCACACCAAGUUUAUGGUGUAAAAUAGGUCUACUUCAAGUAGGAAGAGAAAAUGUAACUUCUCAGAAUGAGGAACAAAUGGACCUGUGUGUUAUACAAGCACAGGACAACAGGCAGAGUACAUCCUGAACAGUACUUCUUGUGUCAAUGCUGCUCUUCCUGGAGUCUCCAUGGUCACUGAUGGCGGGAAAGCCAACCCUUUGCUCGAUCCACUGGGCGACACUGAGCAGCUUCAUGUCUUGGACGGCGGGGCCGAUGAGCUGCAAACCAAUGGGAAGCCCUCGUCUUGACAAUGCGGUUGGCAGUGACACGGCGGGAAGACCUGGGGUAAAGAAAAGGGACGGAAGAAGAAAGGUUGUUCAUGGGAAGACAAUGAUUAAGAUGUUAAGGUUCGUUAGGGUUUAGGAUUGGACAGGACAAGGUUUAAUUGAAUGCAAACACACUGGAUUACACUUUAAUCUGAGCUGAAAUUAGGGAAGGGUUGAGGUUGAAUGUUGUGAUUGGUGCCUUCAGAGAACUGCGUUUGCUCACAAUUAUUAAUUUCCUCUUAAAUUUCCCUUGGAAAUGUAUGAAAUAAUGUGCCUUUGAUCAGCAAAGAAGCAGUAAUUAUACUUAAGUCCUAUUAGUUGACAUGUUUUUCAGUUACUGUGUGCAGAAUUAGAAGUUAAUGAAUGAAUCCUCCCAUACUCCCUAUAAAUGCACGAACAAUGCUGCACGUUCUGCCUAAAGCUGUGGUUCUGUCUCAGUACCUGCCAUGUUGGCCGGUUGGGUGAAGACAUCUUCCUGUGUACUGCGUGUUCGGUUGUCUUCCUGCAUGAAGUCCGAGUACCGGGCUGCAUCGGUCAGAGUGGUGGGUGUCAGCAGCACGUCAACACCAGAGCUGAACACACGCUUGAAAUCAUCCGCUAUCAGCCGCCGGACUUUCUGGGCCUUAACAAAGUAGUGCUGGUAGCUCCUGGCAAAAUUAUACAUAAAAAUCAGUUCAUCCUGGACGUUUUUGAAAUAUUACAGCAUCACCACACAAUUUUUAUCGCCCCUAAAUUUAGAAAUACAACUUAAAUAACCAAUAAUGCUCCACUCUAGUUGUGGAGUCUCAUGAUGACUAAACAGUCUUGCACUUUUGCCUUUCCAAUAUCUGUUUCGCAAAGAAUCAAAUGUUUUAUGGUCUGUAUUCAUCUGGAAGCUGUUGGCCUGGUUUCAGACUUAAAACUGAUUUUCUGAAAUGUUAAUGGAGAAAAAGAACGUUUCAGAACGAGAGCUGUUUAAAAGAGGGUGAUCUCUAUUAAGCCCUGUACAGUCAGAGGGAAGUGAAGAACGAUGGUGUGAGAGGGGUCAGUGUGUUUUACUCACUGUUGAAGCAGGAAGUAGUUCCCAGAAAGAAUCCUCCCUCUCACCACGUCGUUGAAGCCCUCGUGUCGGGUUGAAGCGUACAUGGCCUCUGUUGAGCUGUUCACCUCACUACGGUGGCCUGACAGAGGAAGGACAGAAAUCCAUAACAUUAGCUUCAUCGCCAUCAUGUGUCUUGUUGCCAACACAUAGGAUUUGGUGUAACCUAACUUGUUAUGUUUGAUACACCGCAAAUUGCUUCUCACCACAAAUCUACCAUAUUGGAAGACAGUUUCAUACCAUAUUCAAGGCCAUCAAAACGGGCCAUGUUAGAUGCCACUUCUGCGUGGCACAGGACGUGGUAGCACACAAUGGAGUACUGGGUGUGGGGGAGCGAUACUUGCUCCACCUUCGCCCCUGCUCUCUCAAACAUGUCAGCAACUCGACUCCACUGAGCCAGAGUCUCCUCAGACAGCCCCGGGGCAUGGUACUCCUGACAAGACCAGAAAGACAAGGAGCUUUAUACAACUGAGUUCAUAACGGCAAUUUAAAAAUGUUUCAAUCUUCUUAAUUGUACACACCAUUCUAUAUUAUACUGUACAAGGAAUAUAUCUUUGUGCCACACAUCUUUAAAACCUGGAAAUAGAAUUCAUUAAAAUGGAUUUCAUACUAUCAACAGCUCUUUUUCAGUAAAAUAAAAUUCUUCCAGUUUUUUUGUUUUUGUUUUUC